CGCCGCCCGCGGGUAUUAAUAGCCGAGCGUCCCCGCCGCACGCGCAGCCGGAGCCGCCGCGCCCUCGGCCGCCGGGAGCUCGGAGCUGCGGAGCCCAGAGGCCGGGAGUGGGAGCCGGAGCCGCCUGCGUCGUGGAGGCAUCAUAUAAUCUGCUCUCAUCAUGGGAGAAAUAGAGCAGAGGCCAACUCCAGGAUCGAGACUGGGGGCAGCGGAGAAUUCGGGGAUCAGUACCUUGGAACAUGGACAGAAGCCUCCCCCGACGCCUUCAGGAAAACUCAUGUCCGUCAGAAUCCAGAUGCUGGAUGACACCCAGGAGGCCUUUGAAGUUCCGCAAAGAGCCCCGGGGAAAGUGCUGCUGGAUGCGGUGUGCAGCCACCUGAACCUCGUGGAAGGAGACUAUUUUGGCCUCGAGUUUCCCGACCACAAGAAGAUCACGGUGUGGCUGGAUCUCUUAAAACCUAUUGUCAAGCAGAUUAGAAGGCCAAAGCAUGUCGUUGUUAAGUUUGUGGUGAAAUUCUUUCCACCUGACCACACACAGCUCCAAGAAGAACUCACAAGGUACCUGUUUGCUCUGCAGGUGAAGCAGGACCUGGCUCAAGGCAGGCUGACAUGUAGUGACACCAGCGCUGCCCUCUUGGUCUCACACAUUGUGCAAUCUGAGAUUGGGGAUUUUGAUGAAGCAUCGGACAGAGAGCAUUUAGCAAAAAAUAAGUACAUACCUCAGCAAGAUGCACUAGAAGACAAAAUUGUGGAAUUUCACCAUAACCACAUUGGACAAACACCCGCAGAAUCGGAUUUCCAGCUCCUGGAGAUUGCCCGCAGGCUGGAGAUGUACGGCGUCCGAUUGCACCCAGCUAAGGACCGGGAAGGCACUAAGAUCAACCUGGCUGUGGCCAACACGGGGAUUCUAGUGUUUCAGGGUUUUACGAAGAUCAAUGCCUUCAACUGGGCAAAGGUGCGGAAGCUGAGCUUCAAGAGGAAGCGCUUUCUCAUCAAGCUCCGCCCAGAUGUGAACAGCUCAUACCAGGAUACCUUGGAAUUCCUAAUGGCCAGUCGGGACUUCUGCAAAUCCUUCUGGAAAAUCUGUGUUGAACAUCAUGCCUUUUUUAGACUUUUUGAAGAGCCCAAACCGAAGCCAAAGCCUGUUCUGUUUAGCCGAGGGUCAUCGUUUCGGUUCAGUGGCCGGACUCAGAAGCAGGUUCUCGACUAUGUUAAAGAAGGAGGACAUAAGAAGGUGCAGUUUGAAAGGAAACACAGCAAGAUUCAUUCCAUCAGAAGCCUUGCUACGCAGCCUGCAGAGCCGAAUUCAGAAGUGCCAAAACAAGCUCAGCAGAGCGCCAGCCUUACCUUCGGAGAAGGUGCCGCAUCCCCGGGCGGCCAGAGCUGCCAGCCGGGAAGGGACCCGCCCGCUUCGGCCGAUGAGCACGGGCCACAGCGCAACCCCACUCCGCAGAGGAGCCCGGCGGGGAGCACGAAGGCAGACGGGGCCGGCAGGGCGGAGACGGAGGAAGAGGAGGAGGUCGCUAAGGACAGGACCCAGCAGAGUAGACCUCGGCCCCCGCAGCCAAGCACAGGCUCCCUGACUGGCAGCCCUCACCUUUCAGAGCUGUCCAUCAACUCGCAGGGAGGAGCUGCGCCCACCAGCACCGUCCUGUCACCCAACCUGAGCCCCGACACCAAGCAGGCCUCCCCCUUGGUCAGCCCGUUGCUGAACGACCAGGCGGGCCCUCGGACUGACGACGAGGACGACGGCCGGAGAAAGAGAUUUCCAACUGACAAAGCGUACUUCAUUGCUAAGGAAGUCUCCACCACUGAGAGAACGUAUCUGAAGGAUCUCGAAGUCAUCACUUCGUGGUUUCAGAGCACAGUAAGCAAAGAGGACUCCAUGCCCGAAACCUUGAAAAGUCUCAUUUUCCCGAAUUUUGAACCUUUGCACAAAUUUCAUACAAAUUUUCUCAAGGAAAUUGAGCAACGACUCGCCCUGUGGGAAGGCCGCUCGAAUGCUCACAUCAGAGGAGAUUACCAAAGAAUUGGAGAUGUGUUGCUGAAGAACAUUCAGGGCAUGAAGCAACUGGCGGCGCAUCUGUGGAAGCACAGCGAGGCUCUGGAGGCGCUGGAGACCGGCAUCCGGGGCUCCCGGCGGCUGGAGAGCUUGUGCCGAGACUUCGAGCUGCAGAAGGUGUGCUACCUGUCGCUCAACACCUUCCUCCUGCGCCCGCUGCACCGGCUUAUGCACUACAAGCAGGUCCUGGAGCGGCUGUGCAAGCACCACCCGCCCAGCCACACCGACUUCAGGGACUGCCGAGCUGCUUUGGCAGAGAUCACGGAAAUGGUGGCCCAGCUUCACGGUACGAUGAUCAAGAUGGAGAAUUUCCAGAAGCUGCAUGAACUCAAGAAAGAUUUGAUUGGCGUUGACAAUCUUGUGAUUCCAGGAAGGGAAUUCAUCCGCCUGGGCAGCCUCAGCAAGCUCUCCGGGAAGGGGCUCCAGCAGCGCAUGUUCUUCCUGUUCAACGACGUCUUGCUCUACACGAGCAGGGGGCUGACGGCCUCGAAUCAGUUUAAAGUUCACGGGCAGCUCCCGCUCUACGGCAUGACCAUGGAGGAAAGUGAGGACGAGUGGGGCGUGCCCCACUGCCUCACCCUGCGGGGCCAGCGCCAGUCCAUCGUCGUGGCUGCCAGUUCUCGGUCCGAGAUGGAAAAGUGGGUGGAGGACAUACAGAUGGCCAUUGACUUGGCCGAGAAAAGCAGCGGCCCCGCCCCCGAGUUCCUGGCCAGCAGCCCUCCUGACAGCAAGUCCCCGGAGGAGGCAGCGGGCGACCAGGAGUCGGAGGACGACCUCAGCGCCUCGCGCACCUCGUUGGAGCGCCAGGCCCCGCACCGCGGCAACACCAUGGUGCACGUGUGCUGGCACCGCAACACCAGCGUCUCCAUGGUGGACUUCAGCGUGGCCGUGGAGGUAGGGCAGGCGGCGGGGGCUCAGGCCACGGGCACCGGCCUUCUGAGCAUGCGCGCUCUGUGGGCCGGCAGGUGCACCGGCCUUGGCGUCUGUCCGUUCCCAGGCCGCCUGUGCAAGUGAUGGUUUUCUUUUGUUCUCUGGACCGUGCCCUCUCCUCUCGCGGAGUUAGCCACAGGGCGGGGACUGUGCGUGCCUUUAUUCGUGUGUCCGCGCCGAGAGGUCCGGAUGGGCCGCGCAGGCGCCGUUCUUGCUGUGCCCUGGAGCAGCCCCCGGAAUCGGGUGCGGGGAGGCGGUAUGGUUGGAAAGCUGCUGCCAGCCAGGGCCACAGCGGGUAGGUGUAUUUCAUGGAAGAACCUGCAAGAAGCCGGCUCUCGGAGCGUCCCGAAGAUCUGGCUUUGGGGAUGGGGGCUCUCCCCGUAUUGCGACCGUGAACCUUCUAGAACUCUCCAAACCUUAUUCCCUAAGCGUCCUCCAGUCCAGGUCCGUAAUCCCUAACCUUUCAGAUAAUGCGAAGCCCAGAAAGCUCUAAAACCGUGACGUUCUCUUCAUACCCCACUGACAGCAGAACCUGACCUGACCGGUCAGGAGGCUGUUCAUCGGUUUUGCGAGCGCGUCCUGUUUUAUACUACAGCGUCGCUGUGUUUGAUUCUGGGCUACAACCCCAGACCCCACUGCCUGGGGUGUCAUAGAGGACAGGCACUGGAUUAUCUUUCUAAAAUCUGACAAAUUCUGAAUUCCUAAGUGUGCCUGGCCCGAAAAUGUCACCUAGGAGAUUGUGAGCCACGAACAGCGGUGCGUUUGCUUUCGGAACCAACAGUGUGUUGGCUCAAAUGAGCCGAACAUUUCUUGAUGGGUAGUCCAUAGGGGUUCUCUGAGAUUGUUUUCUGGAACUGAGCUUCACAGUUCCACGGAACUGCGUUUGUCGAGUUUCCCUGCUACAGCUAAUGUUCUAAAACCCAUGCUUCCCCGUCAAGACAUCCUUAUCCUCGGGGCUGUCCCAGCACGUGGAGCUCCCCGACUGUGCGUGGCCUUCCGUCUCCUGCAUCCGCCCCACGGCGGGGGAGGGGGCUUUCUCUUCCCGAGGGGCUCACUGUAUUCAUCCUUCCCAUCACAUUUCCACUGCACCUGUUGGCGAAGCUUGCCAACCGGAGAUUUCUUCCAGGGGACAGGGAUCUUUCCAGCAAGGAGGGGGCAGUGGCCAUCUGGAGGCAAAAAAUACCUGAUGACAUCUCUCUGUCCAGGCGAGGCCUGGGGAAGGGUGGGGCCGUGCGGGAGAAGUCCUCUUUGCUUCGCUUUAUACUCACCUUUGCGAUGUGUAGUCAGGGCUGUGGAGGUGUGGGAACUUGGUAGGCAUGAACCUUCCUCCUUAACCCCUGGAGGCAGGCAGGCCAUUCAAGAAUGCGGCCCAGACACAGCUCCUCGAGCCCAGCUUUUCAGGGUGACAGCCUGCACUGGUGCUGUGUGUGCGCACACGCGCGCGUGUCAGCACACCGAGUGGUCAGCACACCAAGUGGUCAGCACGCUGCAGCCUCAGACCAAACCCUGCCUGCCCCCUGCUUGGUUACAGCCCGUCAGCGAAGAACAGGGUUUUCCGUUUUUGAGUGGUUACUACAACUGUCUUUGAUUUUGCCCCUUGGCCCAAAAAGCCUAAAAUGGUAUUUGGCCCUUUGAGGAAAGGUUUGCUGAACGUUGUAGCCCACGCGAGCGAGCCCUGAGCCAGUGUGGUUUUAAGGUGGCAGUGACGCAGCUUGGAUGCUCGUGGAACUGGCGCGUCUGUCACUCUGUAAAUGUCCCUGCCUUGCCCGAUCCCCCUUCCCCAAGGCGUGUGGCUUCAGUCUGGUGUCCGUGAUGGGCUCCUGUGGGUGCCACAUGCCCCUGGAUGACCGGAGUUGGGGGAAGGGGGACGAGGGAGUGGCUCCUUCCUUCUUGACGUGCUGCUUCCUUACCGUCCCCAGCACCAGAUUCUCUCUUCUAGGGCUCGUGCAGGUAGAAGUGAGUGAGGGGGGUGUUUGUUUGGGGGCAGCGUGAAAUUUAGCUGGCCUCCGUAGAAAGUCUGGGGGCACCGUCGACCCUCGCGUAGGCCAUAGGGCCAGCUGAGGAUUCAGAAGUGAAACCAUCAAAGUUGUGUUGUAGGACUGGAGUUGGGAGGCGGUGGGGGCUGGGGAGAGAGGAGGGUGUCACUCAGCCGU